AGCGAACGCUGGCGGCAGGCCUAACACAUGCAAGUCGAACGAACUCUUCGGAGUUAGUGGCGGACGGGUGAGUAACACGUGGGAACGUGCCUUUUGGUUCGGAAUAACUCAGGGAAACUUGUGCUAAUACCGAAUGUGCCCUUCGGGGGAAAGAUUUAUCGCCAUUAGAGCGGCCCGCGUCUGAUUAGCUAGUUGGUGAGGUAACGGCUCACCAAGGCGACGAUCAGUAGCUGGUCUGAGAGGAUGACCAGCCACACUGGGACUGAGACACGGCCCAGACUCCUACGGGAGGCAGCAGUAGGGAAUCUUGCGCAAUGGGCGAAAGCCUGACGCAGCCAUGCCGCGUGAAUGAUGAAGGUCUUAGGAUUGUAAAAUUCUUUCACCGGGGACGAUAAUGACGGUACCCGGAGAAGAAGCCCCGGCUAACUUCGUG
rnacentral:rRNA from 1 species